GAUGAACGCUGGCGGCGUGCUUAACACAUGCAAGUCGAACGAAGCACUUUAUUUGAUUUCCUUCGGGACUGACUAUUUUGUGACUGAGUGGCGGACGGGUGAGUAACGCGUGGGUAACCUGCCUUGUACAGGGGGAUAACAGUUGGAAACGGCUGCUAAUACCGCAUAAGCGCACAGCAUCGCAUGAUGCAGUGUGAAAAACUCCGGUGGUAUAAGAGGGACCCGCGUGGGAUUAGCUAGUUGGUGAGGUAACGGCCCACCAAGGCGACGAUCCCAAGCCGACGAGGGAGAGACGCCGGAGACGUUGGGACGGAGACACGGCACGAACUCCUACGGGAGGCAGGAAUGGGGAAUGGUGCACAGUGGGGGAAAGCCUGAGGGAGCUAGGCUCGGUGAACGAAGAUGUAUGGGAGGAUGAAGUACCCGAGGAGCUGGGAGGAUAUUGACGGUACCUGACAAGAAAGCACCGGCUAACUACGUG
rnacentral:rRNA from 1 species